CAAAAACAUAACCUUUAGCCAAACAAAUAUUAAAGGCAACGCCUGCCCAGUGAACAAUUAAACGGCCGCGGUACCCUAACCGUGCAAAGGUAGCAUAAUCAUUUGUCUACUAAUUAUAGACCUGCAUGAAAGGCAAAAUGAGGGUCUAACUGUCUCUUAUAAUGAAUCAAUUAAACUGAUCCCCCAGUAAAAAAGCUGGGAUGCUUCCAUAAGACCAGAAGACCCUGUGAAGCUUAAACUAAACUAUUAAAUUAAAUAAUAGCUACUUUCGGUUGGGGCGACCUUGGAAAAAAAAAGAACUUCCAAACACACGACCAUAACUCGAACCAAACCAGGCCCACAAGCCACCAAACAUUUGACCCAGCAAAGCUGAUAAACGAACCAAGUUACUCCAGGGAUAACAGCGCAAUCUUCUUCAAGAGCCCAUAUCAAAAAGAAGGUUUACGACCUCGAUGUUGGAUCAGGACAUCCUAAUGGCGCAGCCACUAUUAAGGGUUCGUUUGUUCAACGAUUAACAGUCCUACGUGAUCUG
rnacentral:rRNA from 1 species